AUUGAACGCUGGCGGCAGGCCUAACACAUGCAAGUCGAGCGAGCGGCGGACGGGUGAGUAAUGUCUGGGAAACUGCCUUAUGGAUGGGGAUAACUACUGGAAACGGUAGCUAAUACCGCAUACCAUCAGCUGUGCCCAGGUGGGAUUAGCUAGUAGGUGGGGUAAUGGCUCACCUAGGCGACGAUCCCUAGCUGGUCUGAGAGGAUGACCAGCCACACUGGAACUGAGACACGGUCCAGACUCCUACGGGAGGCAGCAGUGGGGAAUAUUGCACAAUGGGCGAAAGCCUGAUGCAGCCAUGCCGCGUGUAUGAAGAAGGCCUUCGGGUUGUAAAGUACUUUCAGCGGGGAGGCGGUACCCGCAGAAGAAGCAACGGCUAACUACGUGCCAGCAGCCGCGGUAAUAC
rnacentral:rRNA from 1 species